GUUCUUGCUGCUGCGGGGAGAACUUGCAGCCCUCUUCCUUACUGCCAGGGCCUGUGGAUGGGCCAUGAGUCUGUCCUGUGGAUAUCUCACCGUUCCUGGGAGGCGAGGAGGAAGAGUCCUGCAUUCCAGAACAGCCAAGGGCAUUCUGAGGCAUGCUAGAAAUCUGCAUUCCCAUCCCUCCCGCAGAUCAGAGUCUGAUCUUCUAAACCUCAGAUGCAUGUCCCAACCACUGCAUUACUGGCUUACCUGAGGUACAUGAAUGCGACUUUCUCUCUCUCUCUCCUUGCUCCCAAAAACUUUCACAAAAAGAUUAGCAUCAGGACAGAUCCAUCUCCACAAAGCACUUGGUUUUUGGCAAGAUGUCACAUUUCCAUAAAGAUGUCUUGCUGAUUAUAUUUUGGUGGUGAAAUCUGAAUUGUAACAAGGGAAAAAUGUACUUGAUUCCUUAUACUCUAAAGAGCAUCCAACAGAAAAUACAAAACUCUAUUCUAAAAUGACUAUUUCAACAAUGACUUGUAAUCUGUGCAGUUUCAUCUACUUGAUAAUACCCAGCUUAGUGUUAGAUCUAAAAAAAGAAUGAAAUGAGAAAAUCAUUCCUUUGAUAUGCAUUAAAUUAUUCAGUUAGUAAAUUAGUGAAUCUUAUUCUGAGUGUUAUUAGCUAUUAGCAUGUUACACUUCUUGAUGUUGCUCAUGAAGAAUGCAUAUGAAAAUGAGGAAAAAAUUUCCCCUUUGAAGUUGCUGCCACUUCAGUUGUUGACAUUUCUUUUAAUUGGUGGCUGUCCUCCUGAAUGCAAUAUUCUGCUCUCUGUUCUUAUGAGAGAGUCUCAAUUUUUAAUUUGUUCUUUCAUUGGUUGGAUUUUUUUUUGAAUGGGUAACUCUCAAAAUAAUUAGCUUUUCAAUGGAACCAUGUUCUUCUAAAAUAGUCAUUAAUGAGAAUCUCCUCCAUGCAGUAUAUUUAGGCCUUUUUGCAUUAGAAUAAUUUUCAGCUUACCUCUGGGCUGGUAGAACCAGGACCUGGUACCACUGAAGGCAGCAGGAUUCUUGCUGUAGAUUUCAGGAAGAGCAAGAUCAGACCC